rnacentral:rRNA from 1 species
UACGUAGGGGGCUAGCGUUGUCCGGAAUCAUCGGGCGUAAAGCGCGUGUAGGCGGUCCGGUAAGUCCGCUGUGAAAGUCGAGGGCUCAACCCUCGAAUGCCGGUGGAUACUGUCGGGCUUGAGUACGGGAGAGGCGAGUGGAAUUCCUGGUGUAGCGGUGAAAUGCGCAGAUAUCAGGAGGAACACCAGUGGCGAAGGCGACUCUGUGGUCUGUAACUGACGCUGAGGCGCGAAAGCGUGGGGAGCAAACAGG